rnacentral:lncRNA from 1 species
UUUUUUUUUUUUUUUUUUUUUUAGCAGAACUCACUUCUUGGUACCAAUUUCUGCCUUAGUCUUUUUAUGCUACUAUAACAGAAUACCAUAGGUUAGGGUGGCUUAUAAACAACAGAAGUUUAUUUCUCACAGUCCUGGAGCUGGGAAAUCCAAGGUCAAGGUGCUGGCAGAUUUUGUGUCUGGUGAAGACCUGCUUCUGAGUCAUAGAUGACCAUCUUUUCACUGUGUCCUUAUGUGGCAUGAGGGUCAGGGGAGCUCUUCAGAGUCUCUUUUAUAAAUACACUAAUCAUCUCCCAAAGGCUCCACCUCCAAAUACCUUCACAAUAGGGAUUCGAUUUCAACAUGAAUUUUGGUAGGACACAAACACUGUCUGUCACUUUGGGGAUGAGAGAAGAGAAGCAAAGAAACAUCAGAAUCACCUGGACAGUUUGUCCAAACCACAUGUACUCCUUACCAUCCUAGAUUAACUCACUCCCUCCUUUUGGAACCACUGUCAAUGCUCAGCCUUGAAGAAAAGUGUUAAGGAAGCCUAUAUCAGUAGGUUGCUUUUGGUAGCAAAUGACAGAAAAUGUAAAUCAAAAUGGCUUAAAUAACGAAGGGAUUUAUAACCCUUGCAAGCCAAACAUUUACUGAGUAAGUUGGGUUUUUGGAGAUUCUUGAUCCAAAAUACAUCAGCAAGAAUUUUUGUCUCUCUGCUCUGCCUUUUGCAGCCAUUCAACCUAAAGAUGCAUCCCAUUGGAGUCUCAGGAUGGCUAGAGGCAACACCUAAGUUUCCUUUUUCUUCCUUCACUUCUAGAAAGAGAAAGAGAACUUGCUGCUUUCUCAGAAACAGCUCUAAUAUUCACUCUGAUUGGCCUAGAACAUGAUGCGUGCCUACCUCUGAACCAAUCAUUGUAUAGAGAUAUGGAGUGCGUUUAUUGGCUUAGUUUUUCUUAACUGCUCCACCCCUGAGAAAGUGAUGGCAGUUGGAAGGGAAAGUUGGAAGGUGGGAGAAGGAAUUGAUAUUGGCAGUGUAGCCAACUAAGGCUGUGGGAUGGUCUAUAAAGUUAAGUGCAAAUCAGUAAUAAAAAAUCAUGAGACUCAUUUCACCCAUUCUUAGCACCAGUCCUGUUAAUUUCUAAUAGGGCUUCUCAACUUUGGCACUAUGGACACUGGGCUAGGUUUUGCCCUUGCUCUGUGGGCUGUCCCAUGCAUUGUAGGAUGCCUAGCAGCAUCCCUGGCUUCUACCCACAAGAUGCCAGUAGUAACCUCAACCAUCACCACUCCCUCACAGAUGUGGCAACUAAAAAUGUCUCCAGACAUUGCCAAAUGUCCUCUAAGGGACAAAAUUUCUCUCUCCAAACCACUGUUUUAUAGUUGAAGCUCCUAGAUAAAAAUCUCUAUCAUAGAAGUAGAGAUCCAUUUUCAUCAAUUUCUCCAACGUUUAAGAAAAUAAUUUAAACUGUAGCGUGAAGAAAUGUUAGAUGUAAAGCAGAAUUUCCUAUCAUCACACAUGUGCAUACAUAUUAAAUUUAUCCAUAUAUUACUAUAUUAUUUACUGCAAUUCUUUUUAAAAAUGUUCUCACAUUUGAUGUGAAGCCUAAGAUGAAAGGUGUUACUAGAUCACUUUUCAGAAUUCCUCCUAAGCAUCAGUUGGUAAGAUUUCUCAGCCUCUUUCAGAGGAGAAGCAUUGCACUGAAUAUUUGUAAAUAUUAUUGAUAUUUGUAAAUAUUAUGAGUGUGGGUGCUUCUGGUACAUAGAUCACACUUUGAGUAGCAAAAGGCUAUAAUUUGGCAGAAUGCAGGAGGGGAAGUUUGAGCUCUGCUGUGCUCAACUUAGAUCCAUGUGUCUUCUCAUUCUGGAACCCACCUAAAGAGCAGAUACUGUCUGGAACUGGUCUCAUGGUGGAAGGCAAAAGGUCAAAGAGGGAAACAAAGCCAUAUCAAAGAUAUAAUGGGGAGUUCCUGUUGUGGCUCUGUGGAAGUGAAUCUGACUAGUAUCCAUGAGGACACAGGCUUGAUCCCUGGCCUCACUCAUUUGGUCAUGGAUUCAGCUUUGCCCUGAGCUGUGGUGUAGGUUGUAGAUGCAGCUCGGAUCCUGUGUUGCUGUGGCUGUGGUAUAGGCCAGCGCUACAGCUCUGAUUCGACCCCUAGCCUGGGAACCUCCGUAUGCCAUGGAUGCGGCCCUAAAAAGACAAAAAUUUUUUAAAAUGAAAAUACAAACACUGUGUGUGCGAUGAUCGCCCAUCAUGUUUAAAAUCAGAAAUCUUUAAAGUGUCUUUAAAGCAAGUUACAUGACCCAGCCCAAAGUCAUUGGUGUAGGGGAAUUCCUACAUGUUAGAAAACACAUAGUGGUAAGUGUUGCAGAGCAUGCACAGGUGGCCCAAAGUACUCUCUACGUGGGAGAGUCAAGGAAGGCCUCAGAGAGAAUAUGAUGGUUAAACCAGAUUUUGAAGGAUAAGUAAAAGUUCUUAGCAAACUGGGAAUGGAGACCAAGGCGGGAGAGAGGGCACUGAAGCCAAGGGAAGAACAUAAAGCAGAGAGCUACGUGUUCUUCAAGAGGAUCUCUAUAAUCACAGGGGAAGAUGUUCAACAUCAUUAAUCAUACAGGAAAUGCAAAUCAAAACCACAAUGAGAUUUUACUUUAUCCCCACUAGGCUGUCUCUAAUCAAAAAGAACAGAGAAUAAGAAGAGCUAGUAAGAUUAUGGAGAAAUUGGAACCUUUUCACACUGUUGGUGGGAAUGUAAGAUGGUGUAGCUACUUUGGAAAACAGCCUGCUCCUUCCUCACAAGGUUAAACAUGGAGUUACCUUAUGAUCCAGGAAUUGCACUGCAACGUAAAUACAGGCAUACCUUGCUUUAUCGUGCUUCACAGACAGUGCAUUUUUUCCAAAUUUAAGGUUUGUGGCAAUCCUAUGUUGUCAGAUGAUGGUUAGCAUUUUUAGCAAUAAAGUAUUUUUAAAUUAAGGUGUGUAUGUUGUUUUUUGGAUGUAAUGUUAUUGUGCACUUAUUACAGUAUAGCAUAGUGUAGACAUAACUUUUAUGUGCACUGGGAAACCAAAAAAAUUCACGUGACUUGCUUUAUUGUGAUAUUCGAUUUAUUGUGUUGGUCCUGAACCCAACCCGCAAUAUCUUCAAGGCAUGCCUAUAUAUACUCAGGACAACUGAAGGCAUACAUUUACACAAAUACUUGCACAUGAAUGAUUCAUAGUUGUACUACUCAUGAUAGCCAAAAAGUGGAAACAACCCAAAUGGCCAUCAACUGAUGAAUGAAUAAAUACAAUGCGGUAUAUCCAUACAAUGGAAUAUUAUUUGUCAAUAACAAGAAAUCAAAUACUAAUACAUGCUAUAUCAUUAUGCAAAUGAAAGAAGCCAGACACAAAAGGUAAAUAUAUGAUUCCAUUUAUAUGAAAUGUCCAAAAUAGGCAAAAUUAUAGAAAUAGAAAGUAUAUUGGUGGCUGCCUAGGACUGAGAAGGGAUUGGAGAGAAAUGGGGAGUGACGGCUAAUGGGUAAGGGGUUUCUCUUGUGGCUGAUGAAAAUGUUCUAAAUGGAAUUGUGGCAGUGGUUGCACAACUUUGUAGAUAUACCAAAACCAUUAAAUUGUUUACUUUUGUGGGUGAAUUGUACAGUAUGUGAAUUAUAUCUCAGUAAAACUAUUAGCAAAAAAAUGUUCCACAUGGUACACAUGGUAAGGCAUGGAGGCAUAGGAACAUAGUGUAUUUAAGAACCUAAGCAGGAGUUCCCUUGUGGCACGGUGGUUUAAGGAUCCAGUGUUAUCACUGCAGUGGUUCAGAUUCCUGCUGAGGUGAGGGUUUGCUCCCUGGUCCCUGAACUUCUACAUGCCACAAGCGUGGCAAAAAACAAAAAGCAAAAAACAAACAAAAAUCAAGAACCUAAAAGCAGAUUGACGUAACUAUUAUGGAAUGGGAAUGGACAUGUCUAGGAAGGCAGGUAAGGAUUAGAUCAUGGAGGAUCUGAGGGCAGCUCACAGCAAGAAGAACAUUUUAGGAAUAUUAAUUCAUAUAUGGAGGCUAGGUCUGAAGGAAAGGGAUGCAAAGAGGAUAGGUAGUUGAGACUACUGAAGUAGAUCCAAUAUUAGUUCAUGAGGGCUGAGCCAAAAUGAUGGAAAGAUCUUUCUUACACAUGUUUGUGUCCCUAACAACUUAACAUGCCUGACACAAAACAGUGCCCAAUACUGUUUAGUGAAUGAAUGAAUGAAUGAAGUGGAUGAUUACAUUUUGCAUUUUCAUAGUUUCUGUUAUUAGUUAGAAAAUUUGGGGACACAACAAGGGAUUUUGGGGAGUGAGCUCAGGACUGUAACAUUUAGAGCAAGGAUACUUUUUAUGAGGGGAAUGGCUAUUUCAGGAAGAGAGAAAAAAUGAUGGUAGGUCCAAAGGUAUACUUUAUCCCUCUGUUUUGCCUAAGGCCAGCCUACUGUGUGCCUGGGGAUUUUUUUUUUUAAUGAAGAAAUAUAAGAGGCUGGUAAACUCCUUCUGACUUUGGUGCCUUCAGGCUUUUGUACCCAUUAGCCAAGCAGACAUAAUCUACUCCCACACAUAAGACAUAACCUAGUAUACUUUACAGUAUGUAUGGACCAGAUAAAUAUUUUAUUUUAUUUUAUUGUCUUUUUUUUUUUUUUUGCCUUUUCUAGGGCCGCUCCCGUGGCAUAUGGAGGUUCCCCGGCCAGGGGUCUAAUCGGAGCUGUAGACGCCGGCCUACGCCAGAGCCACAGCAAUGCGGGAUCAGAGCCACAUCUGCGACCUACACCACAGCUCAUGGCAACGCCGGAUCCUUAACCCACUGAGCAAGGCCAGGGAUCGAACCCACAGCCUCAUGGUCCCUAGUUGGAUUCGUUAACCACUGAGCCACGACGGGAACUCCCAGAUAAAUAUUUUACUGAGGCUCAGUGACUAAGAUUCAACCAUCAGAAACCACUUAGAUAAUUUUGUUUUUCAAUCCAUUUCCUCCUGGUCAGCUAUGGCCACCCUACUCCACUGUGAUACAUCCUUAGAUGAUAAAACUGGAAGAUCUAACUUCUAUGUACUAUAGCUUAGAGUUAAAGGUUGUGACCUAAUUUCUAAGCAGAGCAGAAGAAUCCUCUCUGGAGAGGGAUUACACACAAGGAGAUGAAGUGUUUAUGUUUGUAAUAACGGGAUGCCGCCACAGAAGACUAUGCUCUGUGUUAAUGAUUGAAGAACAAUUUUAUUUGUAGAUUUGCAGGGUGUAGGCGUUGGGGAGGGUUGCACAUUUGCCUCAUUCUGAGCCAUCUUCAACCUAUUCUCUAUGACAAGGAGGCUUCCUCUGGACUUCCUUUCCCUGCCUCAGUAAGACGAGCUUGGGUAUGAGUAAUUGAAAACUCUGUGCUGAGGGGGAGGGAGUGGGAUGGACUAGGAAUCUGGGGUUAAUAGAUGCAAAGUAUUGCAUUUGGAGUGGAUAAGCAAUGAGAUCCUGCUGUAUAGCACUGGGAACUAUAUCUAGUCACUUGUGAUGGAACAUGAUGGAGGAUAAUGUGAGAAAAAGAAUAUAUAUACGACUGGGUCAUUUUGCUGUGAAGUAGAAAAUUGACAGGACACUGUAAACCAGCUAUAAUAGAAACAAUAAAAAUCAUUACAAAAAUAAAAAAAUCAAGCUAAAAAAAGAAAUAAAAAA